GCCAUCUAGAUGGUCCUGAAGGGCUGGCCAGUGACCCGCUGGGCUUGCGGUUGCAGCUCAGGGCCGCUUAGUGCUGCGGGUUGGUGAGGACGCCGACUUCAGGAUCUGCUCGAGGAAACUGCCCUUCCCCGGGAAGGAGGGCAGGCAGCCACCCUGACGCUUGUUCUCCGGCUGCCUCUCCAGGCCUGCUUCGCUGCGGCUGGACCCUUCACAGAGAGCCGCGCGGGGGCAGGUGGGGAGGGCACAAUCCUCGGACAGCUCUCUGCUACCACCUGGAGCUCAGAUUUUGCGUCCCCAAGCCGUCUUUGCCCAGCCCCCGCAUACGCAGGGUGGUCAGAUCAGAUCCCCACAGGCCCUCCUGCUGAUAAGCCUGACCCAAGAACGCCCGCCGACCUUGCUCCAGAGCCCCCAGUGUGAGGCUGUGACAGCUGCGGCUCCUCCCUCUGAGGCCCCUAUGGGGCCUGCAUGAGGAGCAGCUGCUAGUGGUGGCGUGACCUACCUCGAUCCCACCAGGCCCCAGCCCCUUGGUUUGGGGGCCUAGGGUCCUCAUCUCUGCUGAGGUUCUGGAACCUCAGUAUCAUCUGACAUCUCCCCCUGCAAAGCUUACUUCAUGACAAUUUACCCUGAAGCACUGACUCCAACAGGAGAUGUUUUAUGGCAGGCUGGAUGCUGCACUCUAGCUGGAGGGAGUCAGGAAUGGCCCAGGAGCCGCCUCAUGUGGAUGUCCUAAAGGAUGAGGGGACGGAUUUCACUGCCCUGGGGUGUUGGGCAACUGGUCUGCUUCAGGGCACUUUCAGGCACGUGCCGCACCAGAGGCAGCCAGAGGAUCUGCCCCAGUGUCCUGGGCCUGCAGGCGGCGGGGCUCCUGUCCCUCUGGGCCGGGCCUUCUGUCUGGGACUCUCUUCCUGAGGGGACAGGACAGGUGAGAGGUCCCCCACCAGAGCGAGUCCUGGGCCCACGGGACCAGCCUCUACCACGUCUACUGCAGCAGGGCUGGAAGUCACCUAAGCAGGAUCACUGGAGGCUGUGUCCCGCUGGGUGGCUGUCCAGGCUGUGCUCCGGGCCCCUGUCUGCAACUACAGACCCCGUGGUGCAGGGCCCGGGCCGGGCUGAGGCUUGUGAGAAACAACCCUGGGCCCAGGCUAGGGGCCAGUUGGUGGGGGUCAUGGCCCUAGGCUGUGGGGAGCAGUCGUGAGCACCAGGGACGUGGACUGCUCCCUGUGGGGUGGUGGUAGCUGGUGGCGGGGAGGAGUUCGGAAGCGUGGGCCUCUCUCCUGCCCGUCUGGAGGGUCCAACUGAGCAGCCAUCCCGGGAGGGCCAGAACGAAGGCCCCUGUGUCCUCCUGCGGUCCCAUCAGUUCACAGAGUGGAGGAGGGGUCCACCCUGCGAGCCGGAGGGUUGGGCUCGUUUCACAGCGACGAGACGUGGAGUCUGCAUGGGCCUCACGCACCUCAGCGGUAGUUGUCACUGUCCCGUCUUACGACGAGGAACCUGGACUUAAACGGGAGGCGGCGGCAGCCCAGGACCCCACAGCUAUAGAUGGACAGAGCCAGCGUUCCGAGGCCAGGCAGGCCCAGGUCACUCUGCUCACUGAGAGGAAUGGAUGCUUGCAGGGCAGGAUUUUAGAUCAACCUUGGGGUUUUUCAACCUCGUUACAAAUAAUAAAUGUUCUUGUUGGAGUUUCCGCUUGUUGCUCCACAAUGGUCACGUGUCCUUAUGUUUUAUUACUAACACGAUACCGAUAAUUUCUAAUGUUGACUCCGUCCCUUGGGAUGACCAUUUUCCAAAGUGGUUUGUUUUCUGCAACUUGGGUUAGACACGUUCUCAGUUUCACUGGUGCAUCUGAAUUGCAGGGCACUUUCAGGCCGUGCGCACCAGAGGCAGCCAGAGGAUCUGCCCCAGUGUCCUGGGCCUGCAGGCGGCGGGGCUCCUGUCCCUCUGGGCCGGGCCUUCUGUCUGGGACUCUCUUCCUGAGGGGACAGGACAGGUGAGAGGUCCCCACCAGAGGUCCUGGGCCCGGGACCAGCCUCUACCACGUCUACUGCAGCAGGGCUGGAAGUCACCUAAGCAGGAUCACUGGAGGCUGUGUCCCGCUGGGUGGCUGUCCAGGCUGUGCUCCGGGCCCCUGUCUGCAACUACAGACCCCGUGGUGCAGGGCCCGGGCCGGGCUGAGGCUUGUGAGAAACAACCCUGGGCCCAGGCUAGGGGCCAGUUGGUGGGGGUCAUGGCCCUAGGCUGUGGGGAGCAGUCGUGAGCACCAGGGACGUGGACUGCUCCUGUGGGGUGGUGGUAGCUGGUGGCGGGAGGAGUUGAGCGUGGGCCUCUCUCUGCCCGUCUGGAGGGUCCAACUGAGCAGCCAU
ensembl:lncRNA